rnacentral:rRNA from 1 species
AACGAACGCUGGCGGCAUGCCUAACACAUGCAAGUCGAACGAGACCUUCGGGUCUAGUGGCGCACGGGUGCGUAACGCGUGGGAACCUGCCCUUAGGUUCGGAAUAACUCCCCGAAAGGGGUGCUAAUACCGGAUAAUGUCUUCGGACCAAAGAUUUAUCGCCUUUGGAUGGGCCCGCGUUGGAUUAGCUAGUUGGUAGGGUAAAAGCCUACCAAGGCGACGAUCCAUAGCUGGUCUGGGAGGAUGAUCAGCCACACUGGGACUGAGACACGGCCCAGACUCCUACGGGAGGGAGGAGUGGGGAAUAUUGGGCGAGGGGCGAAAGCCUGAUCCAGCAAUGCCGCGUGAGUGAUGAAGGGCUUAGGAUUGUAAAGCUCUUUUACCCGGGAUGAUAAUGACAGUACCGGGAGAAUAAGCUCCGGCUAACUACGUG